CCUACGGGCGGCUGCAGUGAGGAAUAUUGGUCAAUGGGCGAGAGCCUGAACCAGCCAUGCCGCGUGCAGGAAGACGGCCCUACGGGUUGUAAACUGCUUUUGUGUGGGAAGAAAACGUUCUACGUGUAGGACACUGACGGUACCAUAUGAAUAAGCAUCGGCUAACUCCGUGCCAGCAGCCGCGGUAAUACGGAGGAUGCGAGCGUUAUUCGGAUUUAUUAGGUUUAAGGGGGACGUAGACGUAAGUGUUGAAAUCUCAGAGCUUAACUCUGAAACUGCCAUAGAUACUGGUUGUCUUGAGUACAGUUGAAGUAGGCGGAAUGUGUAAUGUAGCGGUGAAAUGCUUAGAUAUUACACAGAACACCGAUUGCGAAGGCAGCUUGCUAAGCUGUUACUGACGCUGAUGCACGAAAGCGUGGGGAGCGAACAGGAUUAGAUACCCUAGUAGUC
rnacentral:rRNA from 1 species